UACGGAGGGUGCAAGCGUUAUCCGGAUUCACUGGGUUUAAAGGGUGCGUAGGUGGGCAGGUAAGUCAGUGGUGAAAUCUCUGGGCUUAACCCGGAAACUGCCGUUGAUACUAUCUGUCUUGAAUGUAGUGGAGGUGAGCGGAAUAUGUCAUGUAGCGGUGAAAUGCUUAGAUAUGACAUAGAGCAUCGAUUGCGAGGGCAGCUCGCUACACUAUGAUUGACACUGAGGCACGAAAGCGUGGGGAUCAAACAGG
rnacentral:rRNA from 1 species